rnacentral:lncRNA from 1 species
CGUGUGAUUAUCGAAACAAUGCAGAAAAGCAGCGUUGUGGAUUUUGGUAGAGACUUUCUGUUUGGUAGAGACCCGGAAGUUGCACGAAUGUUUACUUGUCACAUCGUCGUCAUGGAAAUUCAUUGGACCAAGCCCUGGUUUACUCACAUCCAUCCAGUAUUUAAGGCACAGUACCACAGAUGCCAGAGUAAAUACAGACUGUGACAUUACAGUAACUGGACAAGAACAUCUGUGCAAGGAUGAAGACUUUACACGCAAUGCUGCUGAUGCUGUUUGUUGCAUCAGUCUUUUCAAAACCACCUUACCCGCGCAGAAGAUCUGAUUCAUCAGACUCGGAGGGUUCGGAUGAAAACAAUUCACGCAGAGCAUACAGAGAGGAUUCACAGUCGGUUGAGAAUUCUGACGAGUCUAAUGAAUCUUCUGAGGAAGACAUUAGAGUUGUGACAACUCGGAAAACAAGUCCACCGACCACUAGCAAGACAACAAUCAGCGGGCCAUAAGACAUCACAAGCUGUGUUACUGUGAAUCUGACAACUGAAAUAAUGAGCAAUAAUAACAAAAUCAUUAUAAUAUCUUACAAUGCUACUGCUUAAUCAUCUUUUCAUGCAAAAAAACAAACAAACAAAAACAUGUGUAAUGGUGUACAAGUCAUAAUGGUUUACAAAAGAAAGUAAUGUAUAUGUGCUGAUAAUGAAGGUCUUGAAACUGAUUGAUGUAACUUUUAAAAUUAAUUACUUUUAAAUUGCAUGUCCCU